AGUAAUUUGUUGUGCGCAACUAGAGGCUAACUUUACACCUUACCUUCUCUUUUUCUGGAUACUUGUUAGUUCCUUCCGGACCGUUUUUGAAACUUCAAAGAUGCAAAUAUUUGUUUGGAUCUUCUUGGUUCAUACCUGAUGGGUAAAGGCAAACACAGGUAAUUAAAAAUCCUCUGUUUUGAUCAAAUCCAUUUACGUGAUGGUUAUUUUUAUUUUCUAUAAACUUUGCUGCUCCGUCAGUUUCAGUAAUUUGGCCAAAUCUCAAGUAUACCCACCUUCUUUUCAUAGUGCAAAAUUACCAUUUUAGUUGGGAUUCUUAAUUUUCUGAUUGCUAUUUAUAUGGCCUGACUCAUAUUUUCUCUAUUACUGUUUUGUUUAAUGGUGAAUUCGCACUAUACUUUAACAAGGUUCUGAUGUUCUGUUUUAUCUGUUACAACCAAAAUGGAGAAGUUAAAAUUACUGCUAGAUAGGGUAAACAUGCAGAUUGCUAAGUUAAUAGAUUGUAUUUUUGACACCAUAUCUGUUUGUGUCAGUGGAUCAUGAUUAGCUAAUUCUAAAAUUUUCUGUUGGGGAUAACUUUACAUCUCUGCUGGAAACAUGUAUAUGAUUGUGAUUGUUCUACAUGCAUAUCUACUAUAAACUUAAGAAAUGUAAUUACCACCAAAACUACAAUAAAAUCCCUAUACACAUUGCUUUAUUUUGUGACACAUCUUGUUUUUGGUAAUUUUGAUUUUAUGCAUAAAACAUCAUUAAUUAUAUAUUAAAAUAUCAAUAUAGACACUUUUCAACAAUACCCUAACCUUUGAUGAUGAUAAAGACAAAUACAUUUCUGCAUUCAAGGUAUUUUAUUUCAUAUUUCCCUUGACAAAAUGUACACGGGAUGAAUAUUUUGACUACUCAAUUAGUUAAAAGAGAAAAGUGUUUUUCAUUAGAAGUGUGUUUUUUCAACACCUUCCAAGUAAAAAUUUGAUGACGGUAAACAGAAAUACCACUCUGCAUUCAUGUGCACUAGAUAGAUAAAGGUCAGUUCUCUGCAAAUGCUAGACUACUUUCAGGUAAGGUAUGUGCCAAAGCUGGGCUACGACAGCAAAUGAGGUGCAAUUUGAGAAUCUUUGGGAUUUGGGUGGUGAUAAAAAAGCAAAACAAUGAUGAAAUAGUUGGUGUAGACUUUAAAAAUCCAGGGUGUAUAAGUGUCGUCACAUAAGUGUAGAGGAAAAUUCUAUAAUUUUGUGAGAGAUGAACGUGGUCCUCUCUUUAUAGAGCUUUAAAACCAGUUCUGAUCAUGGCAGGUAAAGGUGCAUUAAUAUUGGUGCACAAAUGAAUGUUACAGUUGAGACAAUUAAGCCUUUGGUCCUCUUUAUAGUCCCUAAGAAAUGCAUGUAGUUUGUGUUUGAUUGAUUGUGUGUUUUGAAAAUUGUACAAUGAUGAGUAUUUAGUGGCAAAACUAUUCCUACUGACUUAACAGACAUGUCUCAUCGUGGCUUUGUUUGACUAAUUGCACGGGCAGUGUGCAUUUUCCCUCAUUUGCCCUUGAAAAAGUUCAAACAACGGGUUCGUAGAUCGUAGUUCCCAGGUUUCUUCUAUGGUCUGACCAUUUUUUUCUCUUGGAAAAAAUUUCAAAUACUGGUUCGGUAGUUCCAAGGUUUCUGCGGCAAAAUAUAUUGAAAGUUGCUCAAUAGGCCUCUUGGCUCACAGUCCCCUAAAAAAACCAUAAAUACCCCUCCCGGGAGUUAGGACCCGAAAUGAAGCGAUUGGGAGUUAGUACCCGAUAGGUUCAGAUCGCAACUCCUGCUUUCUCAUGUACCAAUCAAUGAGCUCUCUCUCAUCCAUAUCGACCUCAAACUCAUUUGCAUGUGUUGAAUGAUCAAAAACCGGUGACCCAUAAGGAAUUCAGAUGAUGCGAUAGAGAAAUUGGUGAGCGAACGCUACAUCCUUUUUACCUUGUGUGAAGAACAGAGUAGAAUUAUGAUCCGAAUCUAUCGGUUCCUAACUCCCGAUCACUUCAUUUCGGGUUCUAACUCUCUAGAGGGGUAUUUUUGGGUUUUUGAGGGGCUUGUGAGCAAUCUAAGAAGUCUAUUGAACAACUUUCAAAUAUAUUCUAUGACUAUAGUACUUUAAUAUAAACUUAUGUUAGAUGAAAGGAAAAUAUUAGAUAGCCAGUUAAUCAAAAUGAGACAACAUUAUAUUUGACUACAGGAAUGGUCUUGACUCUUGACAACUAACUUCCUAUUUUUGAAUAUUGACAAAUUCUUGCUGGAUUCUGUGAAGUGUUCCUGGUUGUGUAUCAUUACUUCAGACAAAUGUCUAGGCUAGUUUUAAGUUUUUUGAUUAAGCAGAGGUCCGUCGUCAUCGGAUAUGAGACUAAAAUCUUAACACGUUGAUUGAAGUGAUAUUCAGUUUUAAGACUUUCGGAAGUGAUCAAUUCCACAUUAAAAUAAUUAAAUUAAAAUAGCUUAUAACGAAUGAACUAGCAACACUAGUGAAGUUUUUCUGGCGCUAGAUGUGGUCCAGGUUUAAUAUAUAUAUUAGAAGGUAUUGAAAGAACAAAUUAAAGUGAAUACUCGGCGAUAUAGAUUAUGCAAUUGGAUUAAAUGCAAAUAUGGUGUUACAACUUACAAAGCUCUUGACAUAGUAGGUAUAAAGGCAGACCCGUUAUGUAUUGACUAUUGUAGGGUGUCUUGCCCUGUCUUUGCAUGGUUAUAAGUUGAUAUUAUGAAAUAAUGCACUUCUAUUGAAUACAUACAUAAAGUAUGUUCCCGACACAUUAAGUCAUUAAUCAAAUAAAUCAUAUAUUUUUUAAAUAAAUAAAAAAAGCAGAAAAGAGUGCAAAGAUAACAUACCAAGACAUAAAAGAAGGAUACAAAUAAGGAAAAUUCUAUGGUGAAGUCACGAAAAUGACUUUUCUGGUGAAGUUAACAUUAUAGUAUCAAAAAUAUUGUGAGUAACACCCCACUGUUUGUACAAUGGCAUCAAAAGUUCAGUCCCCAUAGUAUCAACAAUUCAUCAGACUAACAAGAAUACAUUUAAUCUAAUUUUAUCCUACCUUGUUUUAAGUGUAACACCCCACAAAGUGUAACACUUAAAACUAUCACAUAAUAUCAUCAACUAUGUUUGUAUGUUAAAGAUGUCAACGAUAAAAUAAUAUUUGUAAGUCCAAGAUGUUGCAAGCAUUACUGGAUGAAUUACUAUUAAUCAUGAAUCAGUAAUCAACAAUUUAAAAAUGAAUUAAACAUUAAGAUUAAAAUUAACUUUUUCAAAAAAGUCAAUUUUCUGACUGCACCGUAGAAGCUCCCUACAAAUAAACUUGAGAGGACUAAACCAAAACUCAAGUCAGAACAAUCAAAGUAACUCACAUCUAUCUCAUUUAAAAUCUUUGUUAGGAAAAUCCAAAGGGACAAAACCUGCCAAGGAAUAGAGUAUAGAGCAAAAAACUACAGAAACAAUAAGAGAACCUUUGACAAAGAUCAACAUCAAUAAAAUCUGAAUUUAGAAAAGUCUAAUCUAUUACAAUUAAAAGAAUCUAAAAUUCAGAAAAGCCAUAUUUUUGUCAAUACACUGCUUGACCUCUCUGAAAAUAUGAGAAAUGUAAAAAUACAUGUUUUUUUUUUUUGUUGAUAAAUCGUAAAAAUUGGAUACAGCCAUGAACGUGAACAUAAAAGAUUUCUCAAUUAUUAACUUGUUGAAAGGGGGAAGCCAAUUCCAUGUCUCUCUGUAGGAAAUGUAACGAAAAGCAUGCUGCAAAAAUCGCCAAUUGCCACAGGCAACGCCGUGAGGAUUUCUUGUAUCUCUUUUGAUGGUUCUGGAAAAAAGCAAUUCACCACAUUCCGAUCAAACAAUGCAAUUGCUGCAAACACCAGAAUUGACAUUACUGCAUGCAUAAAAUCUAUAAACCGUAUGCGGUAUUUAGCAGCAACUUGAGGUGGAAGUUUGGUUGAUCCAUCAAUAACCCACAAGCCCUUAAAGGUGGCAAACCCAUAAAUAAUAUUACCCUUGCUGUCUCUAAAGCUAUCAGUAAAGCUUAGCAGAAAGCAUGAUGCACCACAGAGAGUCACAAGUGCAGCAGUCAUCCACUUGCUGACAGAGUCACAGCUGCCAAUAUUUGUAAAGAUUGGUGAUAAAAGUUGUAAUGCAAGGACAGUGCCUGUAGGUAGAAGGUUUGCUAAAUGUGCCGUGCUCUGAAAUGUCAAACUUAUAGCUGUUUGUAUCAAGUUUCUCUUUGCUUCUGGAACCUCUGCAUUUAGCAGUAGUGGAACCUUGUGUUCAUCCUUGUUCUUAGAAUCAUCAUUGAUGCCCAUCGCUUAUACAACCUCUCUUCACCUUCCUUUAAUGUUUUGUUUUAUAUAUGCAGCAGCAUAGGUUUGUUUGUUGAUAAGGUAUAUAUAGUUAGGGACUGUUUAUAAGGUCUGGUUCAUAUGCCACAUAUGUUUUGCUGCGUUUAGAGUAGGUGUGGUUGCUUAAGUAGUGGGGUGGGGCUGAUGUAAGGCAAUCAUUUAUUUACAUUUCUGCUUCAACUUUGUAGGUGCAUCAGGCGGUGUUAAGUUACCUUGUAUUUAUAGUUGUUGCAGGGGUGGUUGUAUUUGGUGCUAUGAAGGCUUUUGCCUUUAAUCCUUAUGUUGGCACCCCUGGUGCCUUGACUUAAAUGAAAAGUUUUAUUUGGUUUCUAAAAAAAAUUACUAGUUGGGAAAUCAAUUUAAGGAAAUUACUAAUUCACGGUUCAACAUAUCUAUGCUCAAAUAAUUUCCGAAUCAUCGGUUUAAAUCAAAGUAGAAGUCUAAAUGAUAGUUAACUAUCGUUCGAUCUAUCCGACGGUAGUUAUCUACUGUUCCACAUAUGCAACUUAAACAAAAAAACUCCAAGGGUAGCUAACUACCGUGGAGCAAUACAAUUUAUUUUCAAUUUAUUGUGUGCUUUGUCUCCUAGCAUUUGCUGGAUGGUUUGGGCGAUCCCUCUUUCAUGUAAGUGUUGCUCAUGAACAUAUUUAUAUUUUAUGGUAACCAAUAUUUCAUGUAAGUGUUGUUCAUGAACAUAUUAUAAAUUACUGAUUUGUAGGAAGCUUAUCAUCAUCUUGAGCUGUAACGCGUUCCAUGAAAAAUAGAAAAAAGUUCUGCUCUAUAUCUACUAUUUAAUUACAGAAAUAUUCUAUGCCUGUAUAGGUCCUCAUUGUUAUUGAUUGUCAUUUGCAGGCAAUAGUUGUAUUUAUAAUAAGAUUUUGAAUGUAUGCUUAUGAAAAAAAGGUCAAGAUUUUGAAAGGUGAGAAAGGAAAAAGAAUGUUAUGAAGUAUGGUCGUACAAAAUCAACAUAUAAUCUUGUAAAACAUAAUCCGGCAAAAUUCACCAAAAAAAUGGCAAUGGUGUUGAAGAUUGUUUUUUAUGGAUUUUUGAACUUUUUUUUCCCUUCAGGUUGAAGGUGAAGAAGAUUGAGAGGUUAAAGAUGAAAAAUGGGUUGGAGACUGUGAAGCCCGGAUACGAGAUACGAUACUGCACCGAUACGUCGAUACGGAAAAAUUUCAAAAAUCAAGAUACGAUACGGCUGAGAUACGUUAAUAAAAAAAAAUUAUAUAAUUAAAUGUACAAUAUAAUUAUAACCAUUUUUUUAAUAUGCAAAUAUAUUAACAAACACAAGAAAUCAGGCUCGUAGCACAUUAACAUAAAUAUAAAUAAUAUUGACGAUUAAGAGAGUAGUCAUUAGUCAAUUACAUACGCAAUAUGUACAAAAAGAGCACCAUCAGUGCUAUACACCAAUGCUAAACUAUAUCAAAAAGGAACUUGUUAGUGUUAUACUAUAUCGAUCCAAAAAUGAAGCAUUAUAUCCAAAAAAAGAACACAUCAGUACUAAGAGUUAACACUAACAAGUAACUAACAUUUCAAUCUCCUCUCCUCCAUUUCCAUCAUCAAGAUACAAAUCAGCUUCCAAAUCUGGUUCAUCCAAAGACAACUCUGCUAACUCAAUUCCAACACCAUCAAGCGGUUCAUGCGCAUCUCCACGAAUGUCCCACAUUCUUGAUUGUCCUUUCUUAUAUCCAUCUUCUUUCCUUGACAAGAGUCGAAGAUUAGUAUGCACAUAAACCAAAUCUUCUACCCUUUUUGGAUCCAUUUUGUUUCUUUUCAAAGAAUGGAUAAAAGAGAAAGUACCCCAAUUUCUCUCACAACAUGAGGAAGAACAAGGUUGCACAAGAAGCUUUAAACCCUAAUUUCUCGAUGGUGGCCAAAGUGGACGGCGACCACUUUGGAAGAAAAAGUUGAAACCCUAAUUUCUUAGAAAGGGAAAGAUGCAAUUGUUUGUGUGGUGUGGGUCGUACUGACACCAAAGAAAGAUAAAGGAAAUGUAUAUAUAUUAUAGUAAUAUAAUGUUUUUAUUCUUAUUUUUUACAAAAAAAAAAAAAAAACAGAAAUCAAAAUAAUAUAAAAAACACAAGUAUCCGUGCGUAUCGGAUAAUUAUUUUUUUUAAAAAUAAAAUUUAAUAUUUGGAUACUCUCCGGAUACGUAUCGGGAAGUAUCAGGCAGGUAUCGGUGCAGGAUACGCAGGGGAUACGGUACGUCAUCCAUUUUGAAGUAUCGGAGCUUCACAGGUUGGAGAUGAUGAUUUUUAAAUUUUAGUUUUAUUUUAUUUUUCUUUAAUAAAAGUUGAUCAAAAAAUUGAUAAUUUGUUGAAUUGAACACACCACAUCAACACCUAUCAGCCACAUCAAUAUUGUUUAACAGAAAAGGGAAACAGUGCAAACUGUUUAAGAUAUAAAAUGAUUAAUUUGAAACUUAAAUUUUUUUAAGGACUAAUAUGAUAUUUUUGUCAAACUUAAAUGACUCAGGGGUAUUUGACCUAAAAUAAAAUGAGAAAAUUUGAGUAAUGCAAUUUUCUAUUAUGAUAUUGAGGGUUAUCAAUAAUGAUUUAAAUUUUAAGAAAUUAUAAGUAUACACAUCGAAUUUAUGUAAAUCCUAUACCAAAUAAGUAACAUCUUAUACCUCAAAAGAAACCGAGUCACCCUUUAAAGUAUAAAAAUCUUGCAUAAAAAAUGUUAGAAAGAAUGAGGAGUAUCGUAGUUUCAUCUCAUUUUGUUUCUUCCACAAAAAUUUAGGUGAGUUGAAUUCUGGAGGCUCAAUAUGGUCAAUGUAAGUCUCAAAGUUUAACGAGUAUUUACAGAUCACAAACUAAAGAGAUCCUCACAUCUGCCGCGAGAGUUGAACCCACAACCUUACAUAUAGGUAAACUUUUAACCAACUGAGUCAAUGUUCAUCGGUAUAGUCCCUAAUUUCAUUUGUCAUGAUGGUUUUCUUUUAAACUUUUUAAAUAUUUGUUGAUGUGUUAAACAAGCUAAUUAACCAUGCAGCCCACAAAACUAAAUAUAUCAAACUGUAUGUUUCUAGUAAUGACAAAUGCCAUUAUAUGUUAGUUUUAUAACCAACCUCCCUAUCACAUUCUUUAACUUUCACUCCACCAAGUUAAUCUUAUAUCAAGGUAACUUUCACGAUUCAAGCUAAUUUCCUGCUAAUGAUAAAAUACUUCUUAUUGACACAAAUAAUUUAUUAAAAAGUCCCCAGCAGUAGUUUAGUCCCUGCAAAUAUAGAACAUUUGGUUUUGGUCUUUGGUAUUUUGUUUUAAUCCUUGUAAAAUCAUUUCAUAUUGAAAUUGGUCCCUAUAAUAUUCAUUUUAGUCCUCAUUUUGAGAGACUAAAAUCAAAUAUUCUACAUAUUACAAGGACCAAAUCCAAUAUGAAUUAAUUUUACAAGGAUUAAAACAAAUUACCAAGGACCAAAACCAAAUUUUUUAUAUUUGCUGGGACUAAAACCAAAAAAAUAUUUUUACCGAGACUAAAACCAAAAUGUCAGAUAUUUGCAGGGACUAUUUUCACAUUUAAACCUAAUGAUUAUAAGUUUGCAUUUUUGCUUAUCUUGCCAAGUUUGAUUAGUUUGGUCAUAAUGAUGUAAUAACCAUAUUUUGAGCAUAAUGAUAUAAUGAUUAGUUUGGAUUUGUGUGUUAUAAUGUAUAUAUCUAUGAAAUAUCAAUCAAAAUAAAUACAUUGUUUGAAUUUUUGAAGAAUUAUAAUUAUUAUAAGCUUGGAUUUUUAAAUUUUUUAGCAAGUUUGAAGAAUGACAUAAUGUGGUAUGUUAUAUAAAUGCCUAAGUUAUUGAAUGAUUCUAAGUGUGGAUAUGUAUGAAUGCCUAAGUUUCAUUUUUGAUAUGUUAUAUGUUACUUGGUUGGAUUUUUAUGCUAUUUUAAAUGCCUUAAAAGUAUAUAGUUUUUAAGGAAAUGAUGUAUUCUUAAAUACAUUGUCCACUUAUUUGUGUUUUUUUAAAUUUGUUUUGAACAGAUAUGGCUAGGGACGAGGAUGAGUGGCAACGGGUUAUUAGAGAGGAUAGGAUGCGCAACGGCAAAACGGCGAGUACCGCUAGCGCUCAGAAGGAAAAGGUGGAUCAAAACCCGUAUGUCCCGAAGACUCGGAAGCGGAUGGACGCGAGGCCAGGUGUAGAGAGCUCACAACCACAUAUGGAUCACUCCUCACAGGUGGUUGAUCCGACACAGACAUAUGAGUAUGCGAAGGGAUUUCGGGGAUAUGAUCGGAUGGAGGAGGAUAUAAUGUUUUAUCAGCUGCAGGACGAGGCAGAGGAUGAGGAGGUGGCAUGUGAUGAGGAGGUGCCAGAGGAUGUUGUGGCGGAUUAUAUAGAGGCAGAGAAUGUUGUUCCUGAGGGUGAGCCUGAGCCUGAGCCUCAGACUCAGCAACGACGUCGUCGUGUUCCACCGAUAUCGCCAUAUCCUGUUGGAGAGCCUCCCUAUCCUGGAGGACCUGAGACCACACCACUGUUGUCCCACUACGUGAGGCACGUGACGAACCCUCUUUGGAUGAACUAUCAUAAUGUAAGUGUUUAAGUUAUUUAAAAUUCUUUAAAUGCUUUAAAGUGAUUAUUUAAAAUAAUGUAGCGUAAAUGUUUUAAUUAUUUAAAAGAAUGUAGCGUAAGUUUUUUAAUUAUAAUAUUAUGUAGCGUAAGUGUUUUAAUUAUUUAAUAUUAUCUAUCGUAAGUGUUUUAAUUAUUUAAAAGAAUUUAGCGUUAAUGUUUUAAUUAUAUAAUAUUAUGUAGCGUAAGUGUUUUAAUUAUUUAAAAGAAUGUAGCGUUAGUGUUUUAAUUAUAUAAUAUUAUGUAGAGUAAGUGUUUUAAUUAUUUAAUAUUAUGUAACGUAAGUGUUUUAAUUAUAUAAAUUAGUGACAAUGUCUUAAAUAAUUUGAAUUUCAGAUGUGGCAUGAUCAGACGGGUUAUAAGUGUAUAAAUGCAGGGAAAAAGAUGAAAGAGCUUGGUAAGCCGGAGACGGGUUUGAGGUGGUUUUGGGAGCUUGUGGAGGGGUCUAGCCUACAUGAUUUGAUAUACACAGGGUAUUCUACCGUGACCCAUGCCAUGAUACGUGCUAUGUGCGAGAGGUGACACACGGAGACCAGUAGUUUUCAUCUACCUGUGGGGGAGAUGACAAUCACUUUGGACAAUGUGCAUAAUCUCCUACACAUUCCUAUUCACGGCCGCAUGCUGGACCACGAUGAAGCAAUGGGUCAGGAGCGUGCGUUUGAUUUGAUGACCAGGUUGUUGGCCAUGUCAGAUGUUGAUGUUAGGGCUGAGAUUAGGACUGAGUCUGCUGGUCAUAUCAGUUAUCCCACAUUGAAGCGGGUUUAUGAAGACCACCUGACAGAGGCUAGACGGCUGGACGACCCACAUAUGAGGGAGGAGUUGCAGGAGAGAGCCAGGAGGAGACAGUGGUGUGUGAGGAGUUUUCUUCUAUAUCUCGUCGGUUGUGCGCUGUUCACUAACAAAACGAAUAGACACAUCGACAUGAUAUAUCUUGAUUGUAUGGUGGACUUGCAGACGAUUGGGAAGUGGUCAUGGGGAGGGAUGGCCUUAGCGUACCUGUACGACUAUCUGGAUGAUUAUGUUAUUCUGAAUAACAGAACGAUAGCUGCGAGAACGACUCUUUUUAUGGUAAUAAUUUAAUAUUUAUCUUCAUUUCUUUAUGAAUUUAUUUUAUAAUUUUUAUUAUCUUGUUAGAUUAUUUUUUCCUAAGUUAGACUGCAUUUAUUUAGGAUUUAAUUUAUAUUUUUCUGUGAAGUUUUUAUAAUGUAUUUUAUUUAUUUGUUGUAGGGAUGGAUUUUGGAGCAUUUGUCAGGUCCGUACCCAAGGAAGAAAAACAAGGAGUGGACGCUGAAGAGACCAUGUGCUGGGAGAUGGCUUACAUGCAAAGGGCAUAAAGUUGUGCACCAUUACCGCUCAUGGCUUGAUCACUUAGAGGUGGAUGACGUCAGGUUUUCUACUUAUGGUGAUCACAGAGAGAUACAUCUUUUUCAGCUUAUUGUCACUUACUUGGGAUGAGUGAUGUGUGGGAAGGAGAUGGUGUACCGUCAUUUACCUGAGCGGGUAAAGAGGCAGCUUUUCUAUGUACAGGAUGUUCCCAGACAUCCGUCAUCUGUCGCUCAGGUGCCUACGCAUUUGCUGCAGAAUGCUCAGAUGUGGUUCUUCACUGCUUGGGGAGAUGCGUGUGAGAGACCAUGACAUCAUGCGCCUGACUACAUGGCUUGGUAUGCCAAAGUCUCUCACCCUCCUAUUCUCCCACCCGAUGAAGGAUCUCCUCCCAGCCGGCGAACGUGGAGCAGAUCAUAGAGGAGGAGCAUGCCUAACACACUGACGAUCAUCCGGGAUGUGGUGCAUAUAGCUGAUGAUAUUGUGGCCAGACAAGCCGAGAUGACUAAAGAGGAGAUUGUCCAGGAGGUGAUGCGGAUAGCCGGUACUGGUCGCCCUGCCGUUACGUAUCAGAUUGCCAAGCGGCGCUGUGGGUCGAGGUAUGCUAGGCAGUAGGGUUGAUUAUAAUUAUGCUUUUUUUUUUUAUGUACUUUAUUACUGUGAUGAUCGUGAUGUAUAAUUAUGACAUGUUCUGUACAUUUUCUUAUUUCUACGACACUUUCGGACGUACCUUUUAUAUUAUUUCUUGUGUUUUAAAUAUCCUGUUCCUGUUAAAUAUUUGAUGAGUGACUGGAAACCAAACAUGUUGGUCAAGUGCUACCUUUUAGUUGGUUUGGAGGCACUGGAAACUGGAAAAAUGAGCUACUGCCUGGAAAAAUUUCCAAACACGUAGCAGUAGUUAACAACCGUUGGAUUUAGCGGCAGUUAACCACCGUUGAACUCAGCGACAGUUAACUGCCGGCAAUUUGCAGAAUGGUGGUUAACUACUGCUGAAGGCGUUUAAAUAAUUUACUUGUGUCAAUUGGAACUUUUCAAUGUCAGAAAAGCAAUAAAUUGCAUGUGGAUAGAAGCCCAUAGGUACUUCUACUAUACUCAACUCCAGUGAACAUUUUUUUUUUUUUUUCAACAACAUUGGAAACAAAACGAACCAAAACAUCGGACAAAAAAAAAAAAAGGCUGGAACACGAAGACGAUGUUGCAUUCCCGUAAAUCAAGGUAACAUGGCUUCCAUCAAAUUCUCCACACAGUUUUGAUUUCGUGAGCAUUUUCUAUUCAAUUAUCGCAAUUCUCAAAGGUUGUUGCUUCAUUUUGCACGAGACCCGUUUGAUGAAAUGCUUCACCCAAGUCUCAAACUAAACCUAACUCCAACAUUGAACACACAGUGAUUUAACUAUUCAACAGUGAUUGUUCCACCAGAUUCAGUGUUGUAUCGUUUACAAGUUUCCAAAAUCUUUCAUUUUUAGGUAUUUUCAAUUUGGGUUAUUAUGGCCAGUAAAACUUUGUUUAAGUGGCCAAAGCAAAUUACAAAUUCACUAGUUGAGCAGUUAAUAAAAGCCGAAAAGGACAUAAACAAAACUCUUGUUAUGUUUGAUUCUGCAACAGAAGAGUAUAGCAAUGGAUUUCGUCAUGAUCACAAUACUUUCGGUGCAAUGAUUCAUAGGCUAGUUUCUGUGAAUCAGUUUAGGCCAGCUGAAGGAAUGUUGGAGAGAAUGAAGCAAGAAGAUUGCGAGGUUACUGAGGACGUGUUUUUAACUAUAUGUAGAGGCUAUGGACGUGUGCAUAGGCCACUUGAUGCCAUCAGGGUUUUCCAUAAGAUGGAAGAUUUUCAGGUUAAGCCGACGCAGAAGUCUUACCUUACGGUAUUUGAUAUUCUCGUGGAGGAAAACCAUGUGAAAAGGGCUAUUGGUUUUUAUAAGGAGAUGCGAGAAAAGGGCAUUCCGCCAACUGUUGUUUCCCUCAAUAUUUUGAUCAAGGCGCUCUGCAAAAACGAGGAAACUGUUGAGUCUGCUUUUCGACUAUUUCGUGAAAUGCCCAAUCGUGGAUGCCAGCCUGAUUCGUAUACAUAUGGUACGUUGAUUAAUGGGCUGUGCAAACUUGGAAAAAUCAGUCAGGCAAAGGAACUGUUGGAUGAGAUGGAGGAGAAAGGUUUGUCGCCUUCUGUUGUUAGUUACACUAGUUUGAUACAUGGCUUGUGUCAAUCUAAUAAUUUGGACGAAGCUAUAGAAUUGCUCGAAGAGAUGAUAAUAAAUGGCAUCGAGCCAAAUGUUUUUACAUAUAGUUCUUUAAUGGAUGGUUUGUGUAAAAGUGGACAUUCUUCACAAGCAAUGGAGUUGUUAGAAGUGAUGGUUAGAAGACGUCUAUUGCCCAACAUGGUCACUUAUAGUACUUUAAUCAAUGGACUGUGUAAAGAAGGAAAGCAUAGAGAAGCUGUGGAGAUUCUUGACAGGAUGAGGCUUCAAGGGUUGAAACCAGAUGCAGGGAUGUACGGGAGAAUCAUAAGCGGCCUUUGUGCUGCUUGCAACUAUCAAGAAGCAGCAAACUUCAUUGAUGAGAUGGCUCUUGGUGGUAUCUCACCUAAUCGAGCAAGUUGGACCUUUCAUGUCAAAAUGCAUAACAUGGUUGUCCAAGGUCUUUGUAAUAAUGUUGAUCCAACUCGCGCAUUCCAAUUGUAUCUUAGUAUGCGUACUAGGGGUAUCUCUGUUGAGAUUGGCACUUUUGAUUGUUUAGUCAAAUGUUUUUGCAAGAGAGGAGACCUGAAUAAAGCUGCUCGAAUUCUGGAGGAGAUGAUAUUAGAUGGCUGCAUUCCGGAUGAGGGAAUGUGGAAUGUAUUAAUGUGUGGACUUUGGGAUCGGAAAAAAGUUCGAGAAACUACUGAGCUAUUGGUGGCUGAGCUGAAGCAGAAAUUUGUUGAAGCUGAGAGUUGAAGUUUGUAAGUCCAGAUGAGAACAUAUGGAAUGUAUUAAUUUUUGGACUUUCUAUGAUGAUCAUUGCUUCCAUGACCAAGGAUAAAGAUUCAAACUGUGACAAUAGAUUUGCUGUGUGCAAUUGAAGGCUAAAUUUACACCUAACCUUCUCUGUUUGUGGACACUUCUUGGUUCAUGCCUGACCUUUUUUGAAACUUUAACGACGCAGAUAUUUGUUGCAAAAAGAUUUUCCAUGGUUCUGGCCUGAUGGAUAAGGCAAACACACAGGUAAUUAAAAAUCCUCUGUUUUGAUCAAACCCAUUAAAUGAUGGUUAUUUUAAUUUUUCAUUUUCUAGAAACCUUGUCAGUUCCAGUAUUUUGGCCAAAUUUUAAGUAUACCACAUUCUUUUCAUAGCGCAAAAUUAACAUUUAAGUUGGCAUUCUUAUUUUUCAUAUGGUCUGACUCCUCAGAUACUUUAUCUAUUAUUGUGUUGUUUAACGGUGAAUUCUCACUAUACUUUAACAAGGUUCUGAUGUUCUGUUUUAUCUGUUACAACAAAAUUGGAGAAGUUCAAAAUUCCUGCUAGAUAGGGUAAAUAUGUAGAUUGCUAAGUAAAUAGAUUGUAUUUUUGACACACCAUGUCUUUUUGUGUUUGUGGAUCAUGAUCAGCUAAUGCUGAAAUUUUCUGUUGGGGAUAACUUUACAUCUCUGCUGGAAACAUGUGUAUGAUUGUGAUUGUUCAACAUGUAUAUUUGGGUUUAAGAUUCAAUAAAUACCAUUUUCCCCUUGAAAAAGUCAAAUAACUGGUUCGGUAGUUCCCUGUUUUCUGCGGCAAAAUGAUACAGGAUUAUAAUUGACUCUUGGACUUUUGACUUUGACCACUAACUUCAUAUCCUUAAUAUCGACAAAUUCUUGCUGAAUUCUGUCAAGUGUUCCAGGUUGUUUAGCGUCACUUCAGACAAAAGUUUGUUCUAGUUUUGAACUUUUAAUCAAGCAGAGGUUCCUCAUCAUCGGAUAUGAGACUAAUCGUAACGAGUUGCUUGAGGUGAUAUUCAGUUUUAACCAAUGGAUUAGUAAAAAUAUUGCUUGUAUGAUCAAGAUAGCUUAUAACCAAUGGAUUAGUAACAAAGUUUUUCUGGUGCUAGUUUUUCUCCAGGUUUAAUAUACACUAAAAAGGUAUUGAGACAAAUUUAAUUUGAAAACUAUGUGAUAUAGAUUUUGCAAUGAGAAUAAAUUGAAACACGGUGUUACAACUUAGGAAGUUCCAGUAGUAGGUUCAGAUAAGGGUCAGAGCCUUUAUGAUUUAUGGGUCUCUUGUAGCUGUAGGGUGUCUUGCCUUGUAUUGCAAAGUAAAAGUCAAUUUUAUGAAAUAAUGCACUUAGAUUUAAUAUAAAACCAUAAACAUAAAAACGCCAAUAAUUCAUUAAUCAAAUACAUUACUGAAAUUGGAUACAGCCAUAAACAUAAAAAAGAUCUCAAUUAUUAACUUGUUGAAAGGGGGAACCCAAUUCCAUGUCUCUCAGUAGGAAAUGCAACGAAAAGCAUGCUGCAAAAAACGCCAAUUGCCACAGGCAACGCCGUGAGGAUUUCUUGUAUCUCUUUUGAUGGUUCUGGAAAAAAG
rnacentral:lncRNA from 1 species